GAAACAGUUUCCCUUAAAUGCUUUUGUAAUAAUUAUUUCUGAUGAUAAAGUUGUUUUUUGUUCUUCCGUACAGUGUUGUGACAAUAAAAAUUAUAAAUGAGUGCUUUAAUUCAGCAGUAACCAGUUUACUGCAAAAGCAAAAUAAAAGACGGAAAAGAGAAAUAAACGCUCGACUUAUAAACGCUUAAGCCGGAAAUGUGAGAAUUUGAAUCAAGUGGAAAGUAGCAGUUAAAUGCCAGCACGAGAAGACAAUCUCAUGCAUGGACGUGCUAUGGACGCUGGAACGCCAGGAAGUAGACAUUUAUAUCUUAUAUACACCUACAUACAUAUGAGCAUGUGUGUGCGUAUUCAAGGUGAGUGCAUAUGUAUGUGGAUCAAGUGGGAAAAUCAAGAAACCCAUAGACGCCGCAAUUGCAUGGAAUUGUUGCUGUUUCUUUGGGUUUUUGCUGACCACACAGCCGAAAAAUACAAUUUUUUCUUCAUUCGCACUUUUUUGCUCUCGCUUCAACCGUUAUCCAACAGUUACGACGUUUGAGACAUGCCACAUGUAGCAUGGCUUCCGUCUUCCAUGCGUAUUGCUAUAGGUAAGUGUUUACUUGGCAUGUAUUAGGGUGGUGCUUAAAUGUGGGAACAUACAUUUUACUUGGACUUCUUGAAGGUCGUUACUUUUAUGGUCACAAACUUCAAAAUUAGUCCAUAAUAAUAUCUAUAUCUCUUGGAAGACACCAAUAUAAGAAAAUAUAAGAUUUUCAUUAGUGGAAGAUAUGGGAUAUAAGACUUGGUUAAGACUGGAGUUGGGUAAAAUGUCUCAGGCAAGAACCAAUAAUCAAAAAAAAGUACUUUGAAGACUAAAUUUUAAAUUUAUAUGUAAAAUCUUCAGACAUACUCUUAUGGAUAGUAGAGAUCGGAUGUCAAAAACGCGAUUCUAAUUUAUUGUGUCACUUUAGAAUUAAUCUGAACCUUCCCGUAAGUCUUAACCAUAUUCAGUUGAAAGAAUAUGGCUAAAAGUUAUAUCUGCACCCGGGCUUUUGACAUUGAGAUGGUUAGACUAGGAAAAAUAA